UAAAAGCAGCAGUAACAGAUAGCAAGUUACUAUCAUAAGAGAGAAAAAAAAAUCUAACAAAUAGAAAUCCAUGAUCAGAAGGUCUCAGUUAUAGCAUGUUCAAAUCAAUGAGGAUAGGAUCAAGUUACACAAAUAUAAAUGCUUCAUCUUAAUCCACAGGGAGGAAAAAAAAAAGAUAUGAAACUUGUUCUGCACGAACAUAAAAUGAAAACAAUAAAGCACUUAAAGUCAGAUUUUGAUGUAUUCUCAGAUGAUACAUAAUUAAAAACAAAAAAACAAAAAAACAAAACACUAAAACUAACCAAACAGCCCAAAACCCAAGAAACCUCAAUAGCAGAAGUGCAAAAACACAAACACAGAGCUUUAAAACCCGUCUUAUUUCAAAACAGUUUCCAAUACUUCAUUUCUGUAUGGCAAGUCCUUGCCCUGCCAUAGUUCAUUUUUUUUUUUCCUAAGUUAAUAACUCUCUACUUUUACUUCUUAGGGAACACAGCUGCCAAAGAAAUAGUUCUGGAAUAUGGUUUCAGAUUAUCUGACUAUUGAGAGAAUCUCCCCCUGCAGAACUAGUCCUACUAGAGAGCUUCCAUGCCAAGAGAAGUAAAAAAAGCGUCCUGUUCAAACAACUCUUCAUCUCUCUGCUUUACAUACUAGAUAUAUAAUUGCAGGCAAGUAUCUUUUUCUUAUUCCAGAUGCUUCUGUCUGCAUUUCUCUUCUCAUCCACCUGAACAUAACUGAAUACAUAACCUUUGAUCAUUACGAUCUUUGAUCAUAAUUUGGGUCUGCAAGCUUGGGCAAUCUCACAAUUGGGGUUUAAGGUUCAUGAGAGGAAUCAGCAAAAGAAACUGUAUGAACUCAAAAGGUGUAAAGUCCUAAAGACGUUCCACUCUCAGACAGUAAGUGCCUCUGUUGCCAUAGUUUUGCCUCCUGCAAUAGCUGUUAGUAACAUUUUCUACCAUAAAUACAAACACCUUAUUAAUUAGAAGACAAAAAUGAAGCAUCACACAUGCUGUUACAGACACUGAACAUACAUUAGUUCCUAAACUCCUGCUAAUUGCAAGAACUGGGGCAGGACUCAAUGAGAAGCUACAAAACCAUCAAACCUAGAUGAGAUAACAUGACAAUUUGUACCUCAGCAUUUCAGUCUUAGACAAGAAAUAUUUUCUACAUGUUACUGCAAAAUUCUUAAUCUUCUCUUGAAGGUUUGAGUAAAUAGGUCAGAACAGAAAUCACCAACAGAAUGACUGUACUGCAUUUCAUUAUUUCCAAAAGGUGAGCUAUGAGCUUUGUUAACAGGUUAAAUAUGAAGGGGGAAAACCUUACCUUCUGCCUUUGACAAUGCUUUUGACACAGUGAUCUCUGUGAUAAUGAACAAACUGUUGACAGGUCAUCCUGAUUUCCUCAGGUAGAGUGUGAUCUGCACGCCCUUCUGCUUCUCUGCCUCCCCAGAGCCAUUCAAGCCUGGGGUGGAGAGAUGGGAGUAACAAAAAAAAAAAAAUAAAUAAAUCAAACAAAGGCUCUUUCAAGGAAACUGAAAAUAAGAAUGGAACUCACAGGAAUCUCAUCAUGGCUUUUCACUGUUUUUCUGCAAAUGUUUUUAAUAUAAUCUUCCUAAUAUACUUGUACGCCCUUUGAACACUGAGAAGUUUUACUUUGGGCUCAGGCAGAAGGAAGGACAGAGAGUAGCUGGGAAACAGCCCUCACUGCUGGAUUCACAGCGCAGCCACCUAGCUCUAAUUUAAAGAUGAUUUUGUACAAUUUACUUCUUCAAAGUGAGGUACCAAUGAAAGUCUCCAUCCACACAAAGAACUUGUACGAGCUAAUUAUUAGAGGACUUUAAAACAGUGCUGAAAGAAUCAGGACCAGCACUCACAAAUAAAUCUUUCUCUUCAGCUGAAAUUAUUUCUGAAGACCCAGUACUACAUGCUUUACCAUCGUUAGACAAGGAUUUUGUCUAUUGGGAGUUUGUGAGAUUUUAGUCAGUGCGAGUGUAUCAGGGCAGCAGUAAAAACUCACAUAUAGUGAACUGCAAUUAGCUCUCCAUAGCUGGGAGAGAAGAAGAAAUUUUAAAAAUAAAACAAAUACGGAAUUGAAUGCUAUGGCACAGAACACUCAGAACUCUUUUAAAAUUAUUGCUGUUAAUAAUUAAACUUGUACAUAUAAGUGUAAAUGUUCUACUUACUUUCGCUUGAAUGGCAGAAUGAUUAAAUGCUUAUCUAAGCCAAAAAUACCAAAGGAAAUGAAGCCCUAAAGGAAAAAACACAGAGGAAAUAGAUUAAGCAAAAAAUUUUGACUUCUGAAGAAUAGAAAUAAAAUGUUAACAACUAAUUGCCAAAACACAAAUUAAGAGUAUCUCUCUUUCCCAGUCACUAUUUGAAAUUCAUUUUGUUUCUGCUUUGUUUUUUCACUUAGUCCUUAAAAUAUAUAAGUCUGUCAAAUAAAUUCUCAAAGAAGCAGUUCAAUAAGUAAGCUAUCUGAUGAACAAAAUGUCAGUAUCUUUACACAGCCAGUUAUUUCAAUCUCUUUGUUAAUGUCAAGAAAAGAACUGACUACAAUUUACAUGCUGUAAUGUUCUCCCACUAUUCUUCCAUGCUGCUUUUGUAACAAAGCCAGACUAUCAUUACUUGAUUCUGCACUGCAUCUCAGAGGCGCACUUGUCCACAGACCUGAGCAAUACUCCCUGUGGUGCUGAACAGCCACUUUGAUCCAUUCCUCAAUUUCAGUGACGCCUAAGGCCCCCUCAGUUGAUUUUCUCCACGUUUCUCCCCAAGAUUUGGAUAAUACAGCAGCAUGGACAUUUGAUCUAGUCUGCAACAGCUGUGCAGAACAACCUGCAGAAGGUUGUGCAGAAGAUCCUGCAGAAGGUUGUGCAGGAGACCCUGCAGAAGGUUGAGGCACAGUGGCUGAAACUUGAUUCCCCUCGUUCCCUUCCACUUGGCUGUGAGGUGAAUAUGGGUUCAGUACCUCAUAGUUCGACUCCUGUCUAUUUCUGUUCAUGCACAUAAGUGAGAUGCCUGACAUCAAUAUGCUGAUGAACAGGACCACUGCUGUGGUGAUUAUCUGUUAAGUAAAAGGAGAGAAAAGAAAGUAUGUACCUAAAUACAAACUAAAGGUAAAUUGUUGCACAUAUCUUUCUUUCUAACUUUUGCAGCUUCCUAAAUGCACUAAAAAUGCACUAAAAAUGCACUAAAAAUGCACUAA